rnacentral:rRNA from 1 species
UACGUAGGGUGCGAGCGUUGUCCGGAAUUAUUGGGCGUAAAGAGCUCGUAGGCGGUCUGUCGCGUCGGCUGUGAAAACUCGGGGCUCAACUCCGAGCUUGCAGUCGAUACGGGCAGGCUAGAGUUCGGCAGGGGAGACUGGAAUUCCUGGUGUAGCGGUGAAAUGCGCAGAUAUCAGGAGGAACACCGGUGGCGAAGGCGGGUCUCUGGGCCGAUACUGACGUGAGGAGCGAAAGCGUGGGGAGCGAACAGG